rnacentral:tRNA from 1 species
GGAGAGGUGGCAGAGUUGGUCGAAUGCGCCGGACUCGAAAUCCGGUAUACCCGAAAGGGUAUCGAGGGUUCGAAUCCCUCCUUCUCCGCCA